UGGCUUUCAGAUGGGGCAGUUGAUCCUUAACCUGUUGGACAAGAAUAGAUAAGCAAAGGUCUUGUUUCUGCCUUUGUCCUGAUCUACGCAUGAUCUCAGAGGAGGAAGUGAACACUGUUUUUGUUGCCAUCUCGAGAUUGUGAAACUAAAGCCAGGCUGGAGAUGAAGAAAGAACAGAGAGCACGCGUGCAUGUGACACAGUUAUCCUGGCGGCCAUGUCAUCUGUCGUCCCCCCAGGACAUGGACA